AGGACUAACGCUGGCGGCGUGCCUAACACAUGCAAGUCGAACGGGGUAGCAAUACCCAGUGGCAGACGGGUGAGUAACACGUGGUCAACCUACCUCUAUGUGGGGGAUAACUAGCCGAAAGGUUAGCUAAUACCGCAUACGAUCGCUUUGGGGCAUCCCUAGGCGAUGAAAGGAGCAAUCCGCAUAGAGAGGGGACUGCGUCCCAUUAGUUAGUUGGUGGGGUAACGGCCUACCAAGACUCCGAUGGGUAGCUGGCUUGAGAGAGCGACCAGCCACACUGGAACUGAGACACGGUCCAGACUCCUAUGGGAGGCAGCAGUGAGGAAUUUUCCGCAAUGGGCGAAAGCCUGACGGAGCGACGCCGCGUGUGGGAAGAAGGCCUUCGGGUCGUAAACCACUGUCGAAGGGACGAUAAUGACGGUACCCUUGGAGGAAGCCCCGGCUAACUACGUGCCAGCAGCCGC
rnacentral:rRNA from 1 species